AUCUAGGGCCAUGCUGCCCUGAACAGGCUGGAUCCCAUCUGAUCUUGGAAGCUAAGCAGGGUCGAGCCUGGUUAGUAGUUAGAUGGGAGACCACAUAGGAAGACCAGGUGCUGUAGGCA
rnacentral:rRNA from 1 species